rnacentral:rRNA from 1 species
GAAAUGAACGGAAAGAGCUCAGCGCUGAAUCUAUAUGUUGUAAUGGCAUAUCGAACUGUAGCGUACAUUAAGGAUUAUAAUGCUAUAAAUAACGUUUUAAGUUCUCUUUGACUAGAGUUCCAUAGAAGGUGAUAGGCCUGUUAAAACGUUUUAUUUAUGGUUAUUUGAUCUUUGUUGUGAGUCGGGUUGUUUGGAAACACAGCCCUAAGCAGGUGGUAAACUUCACCUAAAGCUAAAUAUAACCCGGAUUCUGAUAGCAAACAAGUACCGUGAGGGAAAGUUGAAAAGAACUCUGAAGAGAGAGUUAAAUAGUACGUGAAACCGAAUAGGCGGAAGCGUAUAGAGUUGUCGAAAGAUGGUAAUAAUAAGUUAUAUAGUAGUGUAACAGGAGUUAAAAAGUUUUCGUAAGAAUCUUUUUUACUUUGUAGUUUACUUCUAUAUAAUGCACUUGUUGCCAUUGUGCUGAUAACAUUGAUGAAUAUUAUUGAAAUAAAAAUAGAGGGCUUAUCUUCGGAUGAGUAUCCUGUUUUUAUGGAUAUAGUUAUUUGUUAAUGGGUUAAAAAGGAAUAAAAGAAGGUAGUAAUAUGAUGAUAUACAUUAGUUAAAGCUUGCUUUAGCUUUUAUAUGUUGUUAUGUUAUUAUUGGAUGAUAUUUCUUAUAUCAGUAUAAAAGACAAUCACCUAUAUGUCCCGUCUUGAAACACGGACCAAGGAGUUUAUCGUAUAUGCGAGUCAUUGAGUGAUUAAAACUCAUAGGCGUAAUGAAAGUAAAGUUAUCGUCAGAUAAUGAUAUGUGAUAGGUGAUUUUCGAAGAUCCUAGCAACAUAGUCCAAUCUAAUAAGCUUGCUUAUGGGUUGAGAUAGAGCAUAUGCGAUGAGACCCGAAAGAUGGUGAACUAUGCCUGAACAGGAUGAAGUCAAAGGAAACUCUGAUGGAAGUCCGAAGCGGUUCUGACGUGCAAAUCGAUCGUCU